rnacentral:rRNA from 1 species
UACGUAGGGGGCAAGCGUUGUCCGGAUUUAUUGGGCGUAAAGAGCGUGUAGGCGGCCUGACAGGUCUGCUGUGAAAACUCGAGGCUCAACCUCGAGAUGUCGGCGGAAACCGUCUGGCUAGAGUCCGGAAGAGGAGAGUGGGAUUCCUGGUGUAGCGGUGAAAUGCGCAGAUAUCAGGAAGAACACCUAUGGCGAAGGCAGCUCUCUGGGACGGUACUGACGCUGAGACGCGAAAGCGUGGGGAGCGAACAGG